rfam:Dengue virus type 4 D4.1_1987 polyprotein precursor, gene, partial cds; and 3' nontranslated region, partial sequence.
GGAGGCCAUGCGCCACGGAAGCUGUACGCGUGGCAUAUUGGACUAGCGGUUAGAGGAGACCCCUCCCAUCAC